GCUUUAAUUUGGAGUGCCUUGGGAGUCUUCAUAGAGACACUGACAAGGAAAAGACAGGGCCUUUUAAUAAUAAUGAGAUAUUUCUAGAAUAAACACAAAUAAGAAGUUGGACAGAGAAAAAGUGAGAGGAGCCUAGAAGUAAAACCUAAUUCUAGUUACUUAAGAUACCAAACAAACUCUCCACGAAUUCUAAAGAAACUGACUACCCUCACAUGAACAGAGCAGAGCCCAGGAGUUCUGUAGCUAAAUCACUCCUCAAGAAUCAGGAAUAAGUCGAAAAACCAAAAAAGAAAAAGAAAAAAAAAGAAAAGAAAAGAAAGAAAAAGAAAAAGAAAAAGAAAAGAAAAGAAUCAAAAAUAAACCCUUGACAAAUUGAGUCCAAAGAGGAACAAGGCUGGAAACACGGUUUUUAACCUAUUGCUGCUCUCCUGGUAGAUUCUUGGUUUAUAAGUUAAGAAAAAGUGAAGGCUAGGUCAAGUGUCUCUUGCCUCUUAGCACUCUGGAGGCGUAAGUAGGCUGAUCUCUCUGAGUUCAAGGAUACCCUGGUCUAUAAAGAGAGAAAAGGCAAGAGUAUGUAUUUAACCCAUUCAGACAUUAGUUUUGGAUUUUUGUUUCUCUUGCAAUUUUAUGUCCUGCUCUUUGUAAUUCCUACAACAUACAUUUUAUUUCUAAUGUGGACAACAUUGUUCCAAGGAAAAAUCUACUCAUGGCAUCUCUGAAAUUAUAGUAAGUACAAAAGAGUAACUCAAAUGGCUAUUAAAAAAAGUCAAAAAACAAUGUUUCUUGAAACUCCUGUUCAUUCAUGUGAGAAGGGGCAAGUGUAGUCAGAAGUGGGGGUUUUUGUUUGUUUGUUUGUUUUGUUUUGUUUUGUUUUGUUUUGUUUUCUAUCCUAACUUUAAGACAUCCAUCAUCUCCGGGCAGUGGUGGUGCACACCUUUAAUCCCAGCACUUGGGAGGCAGAGGCAGGUGGAUUUCUGAGUCUGAGACCAGCCUGGUCUACAGAGUGGGUUCCAGGACAGCCAGGGCUACACAGAGAAACCCUGUCUAGAAACAAACAAACAAACAAACAACAAAAAAAACGCAUCCAUGGUCAAGGACUAUGAGAUAUACAGAAAAUGCAUUCAUGGCCAUCACUGAUGAAUGAAAUCCAUAAAAAAAAUACACACUGACAAAUAAAUAGUUUUCUUUUUCCAAAUCUUUCCCUGUAGUCUUAGCCAUUGGCCCCUCUGGUAGCUGAAGUAAAUGGUUGCAGAAACAGACACAGGAAAGUCUGUCUGUAUUUUCUUUGUGAUUUAAUUCAUUGAUUUAUGAAGCACUACACAACAACUAAACACACACCAUUGUUUGUAAAAUCCCAGGUACCACCCUUCUCUAUGCAUAUUCACUCCUUUGACUCCCAACACCAAUCCCACUGAUAUAGGUUCAGGGACAACUGUGGAUUCAGGUAGAGAGAGUGCUCUGAUGACCACAGGGAGGCACAAGAAUAUAAAGUCGGUCAAAUGACUUGAAAGCCCCUGGACUUCAGUCUCCUGGCUGUCAUUAAAACUUAGGGCACAGAAGCACUUGUAUACAAUGUGGAGAAAGUCCUCUCUCAGAAGAAGCUGUCGUGACUUGCACUAGUCUAGUCCCCAGACACAGUGUUAGCAGGUGGAAUGUUCUGAGAAAACCUGAAGCCCCCUGUGCUUCUGACUUAUCUCCUAAGAGACCCAGCUUGCAAAUUCUUCUUUGUAUAAUUCAAGUGUUUGAAAAUGCAUUGAUUUUAAGUGCAUUUGUAAAAACAAAGCAACUGUAAUAACAAGUCUGGAGGGUGCAUGAUGCUUUAGUUCUUCUUCUUUGCAUCCUUUCUUCUUUUCUUCUGAAUGAUGCUAGAAAUCCCUAGUUGAGGCCAUAGCAGUUAUCAAAUGAAUUUGUGUACAUAUGUACAGAGAUUUUUUAUUGCUGUUCAUUUGUUUCUUUAUUUUUUCUUCUAUCUUAAUUUUUUUUGGAUAGUGCUCCUUUAAGAAGCUCUAAUUCUUUCUCCCCUACUACUAUAAGCUUUGAAAGUAAAAAGGCAUGUGAGGGGACAACAACACACAAAAAGCCAGAUCUGACAGUGCUGAUUCCUGUAUUCCUUAACUGAGCUGCAGUUAUUUGAGAAUCUUGGGACCUAAGGCAUUGGUGAAUAUUUUCAUAAACAAGAUACUUAAGGGAUAAGACUCAAUUCUAAAUAUGAGAUUCUGUUAUCUUUCAUAUACAUCUUAGACAUAAAAUCUACAGGCAAUUUUUAAGUGUGCUCAAGCUUCGACUACAACAGAAAAUCAGGUGUGGGUUGUCAUGCUUGUAAUAUCAUUUGGACUCUCAAAUUUCUCAGAAUUAGAGUAUUUAAUGUGAGACACUGAUUUCCUGUUUCUCCUUAAAUAAAGAUGCAAUUCUGAAGUUUCCUUUCAACUCUUACACGCUCUUCAUAAUUUUUUGUAAUACUCUCUGGAAUCUGAAAUACGUACUUAAAAAUGCAAAAUAGCAAUGUAAAAUGUGUUGGGUGUAUUAUGGAGACUUACAAUUCUAAAUAAGUUGCACAUGAAAAUCAUUUUAGUUAUUGUCUUAGCCACUGUUCUAUUACAGUAAAGAGAGACCAUGACCAAGGCAACUUUUACAAAAUAAAGCAUUUAAUC
rnacentral:lncRNA from 1 species